rnacentral:lncRNA from 1 species
CCACAUCUGGAAACUCCUAACUAAUGACUAAUGGAUGUUCUGAUAUAGUAACAGUAUCAUCUAAAACUAAAGAAUGAGUAUCCAUAUAUAUAUCUUCGAAAAUAAGGAACCAACAAUGUCAUGUGACUCUAAGGGUCUUCAUCAUAUUCAUGAAUUAUCAAGGACUUCCAAGGACAGGCAUUCAAAAAUGCCACCAUAUUAAGGCUCCUCCCAAUAACAGACUCUUAGUUUAGAGUUAU